CAAUAAGACUCUCGGCAACGGAUAUCUUGGCUCUUGCAUCGAUGAAGAACGUAGCAAAAUGCGAUACCUGGUGUGAAUUGCAGAAUCCCGUGAACCAUUGAGUUUUUGAACGCAAGUUGCGCCCUAGGCCUCCGGUUGAGGGCACGUCUGACUGGGCGUCACAC
rnacentral:rRNA from 2 species